rfam:Burkholderia sp. ST111 contig_57, whole genome shotgun sequence.
CUUCAGGAUCGCUAGGGUUCCGGUCGUACCGCUUUAAAGGCUUCCAGAAGGCUUCAAAGCGCGCACACGAUGUCUGGUCCGAGAGCAAUCCGGUCUUGCCGUUCACCUUCUUUCAAGGCGCCGGCGAGGCUCCACGGAGGGAUAAAAGCCCGGGAGGU